CCUCUCCUCGUCUCCUGACCCCUCAGUGGCAGCCAGCCCUCCCACCGAUGACAGACAGCUGCCUCUGGAGGCCUUACCACGCACAGAGGAGAUGUGUGCUGACCUGACCAGGGUCAUCGAGGCUGGUGACAUCCAGGCGGCCUCCAUCUAGGCUGCUGCCCUAGCUCAUCAGCAGGCAGGGCUGAAGAUCCAGCCCUCUGAGAGGAGCUACAGAGACACAGAGCUUAUGGAGAGGGUUAAGAGCUCUAGAGCUCCUGGGUAGAAGAGAAAGUUAUUGAAGAAUUCAGAAUAUAACUUUGUAGGACAGGAAAUGCAUAUUUUAGGAGUUGAUGACGAUUGUAUAUUUUUGUGAAAGUUUGGCUGUAGUGGUUGAGGAUUCUUCAUCAUCCUGUUGUGUCACGGUGAAAGUGUUCCCCCACACAACCAUUGACCUGCUGCUUGAGUAUUGCAGUCUGAACAGCUGAAACAAUGUAUAUAAAAAAGUUUAAAUUUAAAUUGAGUUCUCUAUAAAAUUUAUUUAGCUAUAAAAUAGUUUUAACAUGAAAACCUUUCUGUCAACGUUUAUUUGUCUUUCUGUCUGUCCCUCUGUCUCCUAGGUAUUCCUGGAGUAUGGCUUCCAUCCGCGGGUGCAGUGCUGGGUCAUCGGCCAGUGUCUGUGUGCCGAGCAGCGCUCUCUGGCAUCAUAUUGGGUGCGCAGGGAUGGAGACACGGCCUUCCUGUACCUCCUCUCCGCCUGCCAGGCCUGCCUCACAUGGCAGCUGCUCCAGCAGGACCAGGAGAGUACCCUCCUCACCCGCGCUACCCCACCUCACGGGCCCCCAGCAAUUUCCCCACAUCCCAGGACUGGAGGGGUUACAGUACCCUGCCACUAAGACUGAGCCACAGCAGCAAGGGUUCAAAUGGAACAGGGCCAAAUGGAGCAGGGGCAGAGAGGCUGAACAUCAGUGAAAUCAAAGACCUCAUCAACCUGGAGAUGCCACAACUCAAUGAUGCACUUAGUCCCAAGAAAUCAGGCC